rnacentral:rRNA from 1 species
UACGUAGGUGGCAAGCGUUGUCCGGAUUUAUUGGGGUUAAAGGGUGCGUAGGCGGUCUAUUAAGUCAGUGCUGAAAUAUCCCGGCUUAACCGGGAGGGUGGCAUUGAUACUGAUGGACUUGAGUAGAGUCGAGGUAGGCGGAAUUGACGGUGUAGCGGUGAAAUGCUUAGAUAUCGUCAAGAACACCGAUAGUGUAGACAGCUUACUAGGCUCAAACUGACGCUGAGGCACGAAAGUGUGGGGAUCAAACAGG